GCAAUGGGGGAAACCCUGACGCAGCGACGCCGCGUGGAUGAUGAAGGCUUUCGGGUCGUAAAAUCCUGUCAGAUGGAAAGAAAUGUAAUCCUGCUAAUACCAUGAUUACUUGACGGUACCAUCAGAGGAAGCACCGGCUAACUCCGUGCCAGCAGCCGCGGUAAUACGGAGGGUGCAAGCGUUGUUCGGAAUUACUGGGCGUAAAGGACGCGUAGGCGGGUUGGAAAGUCAGGUGUGAAAUCCUACAGCUUAACUGUAGAACUGCACUUGAAACUUCUAAUCUAGAGUAUGGGAGGGGGAGAUGGAAUUAGUGGUGUAGGGGUAAAAUCCGUAGAGAUCAGAAGGAAUACCGAUUGCGAAGGCGAUCUACUAGAACAUUAUUGACGCUGAGACGCGAAAGCGUGGGGAGCAAACAGGAUUAGAUACCCCAGUAGUC
rnacentral:rRNA from 1 species